CGUUGGCCGCGUUAGGGAUUGAAGCGAAAAGCCCGCAGCAAGCGUUUGGAUUGCGGGCAGGAAAGGCGAGGACUUGCAGCGUAAAGCCCGGGCCGCA
rnacentral:sRNA from 1 species